rnacentral:lncRNA from 1 species
GUAUGGAAUGAAGUUCAUUUAUUAUUAUUUAUUUAUGUACAGUAUUUUUGUACCUACCUUAAAUUUUGCAUAGUCUUAAGUCUUCGGAGUGUUACUUUUAUUCCAAGUCGGCUGGAUCUUGACACCUCCCUGCAAGAACACUUCAUUGGUCGUUAUUAAUAGUGUACAAAUUUUUUGAAAAUUGAAACCCGUGAUCCAGCCAAAAGCUGUGUUGGCAGUUUUUAUCAAGCGUUAUGAUUAAACUUGUGUACAGUAAUAACGUUUUCUUUUUUCACUACCGCCCUCUGUUCAUUCUGUUCUCUCCUAAUCUUAGUAUUUUAUUAUCAAUUAAACACUGUGUGAACUUGUGCGGCACUUAAAUGGGAAGUUUUUCCCGUUUUUCUCCACAGCUGUGAUGUUUCUUUUUUUUCAUAAUUCUAGGGCAAGUGAAUUAAUUGCAAGUGUUAUUUAGUCCCAGGCUCAAAUUUUUUCUGAAGUAGUUGGCAGCUAACAAAGCCAGUGCAGCCUCAGCCUCCAAAUUUUACUGGUAGCAUGAGUAACUUUUAAAAUUCAAGCUCUUCGCUAAUCGAAUAGCCACUUUUAUUGGGGAAGUAAAACCCACUCUUAAACCCUAAAUGCUCUCACUUCUACCAAUUUCUGGUAACAUACCUGUCCUCGUCCUUUUGUCGUCAUCCAGUUAGUGAUUUUCAUUGUUUCAUUUGAGGUAAUCAAAAACAAUCAAAUUCGGGUUUUUUAGGAGCCAAUUAUUAUCUACCCUCAAUUUCAAUUGAUUCGCUUGCCCGUUUUAUUAUUUCAAGAUGCCUAUGAGAAAACUGUGAGGGUGAAAAUGCUGUUUUUUUUUUUUAAGAAAUGCUUGUAUGUAGCACACACCCAAAUAUUACUGCGCCAGAUUUCAAAACUAUGUCUUAUUCCUUGAGAAGAAUGAAUGCUCCUUUGAGAGGAAAACUCCACCUCUAUAACAAGAACUUCUUCCUUUAUAAAGAAGUCAAGCAUUUCCUUCAGUUGCAGCUUGGAAUUCAAAUCAAAGGAGGACAUUCAAUCGCCAAAAGGUACGCAAUUUAUUCAAUUUUUAUUGAUUCUCAUAGAUCGAUUCUUUUUUUUUACAAAUAAAUAUUAACGCAACUUUUUACAAUAAAAAAAAAACUGGCACAAAGCAAAUCAUCCCUCCUCCAGAAUGUGGGCCGGUGCGAUUUUUUUUCCCUACAAUUUAUUCUGUAAUCUUGGCAGAAAAGAAAUUACCGCUGGAAUUUCAUUUUGAUGCAAUUUAAUUUUAACAGAUGAUGAGUACUUCAUAUUAAGUGAAGGAUAUAAUGAUCCAUCUAGGCAAAGUACUCCGUCCAGAGACCAAGAAAGCGGUUGUCAGUAAAAAAUAUAAAAGAGUGCCUAUUCUCUCAUACCGAGUGUUCAUGUUGAAGCAAAUCAUUUCAAUAGCUUACAAACUCUUAGAAACUUUUUCAUGGCUUAAUUUCAAAAAAGGAACAAAAUGAACACUAAUUGAACCAAUGUUUCUAGAAGGGCUUAAUAGAGUGACAGAGGGUCAGCGAUUUGGAGACCAUUUAUCAAAAGAGGACAUUAUUGUGCCGUGGUGAAAAUGAGCUUGUUGACUUCUGAAAGAGAGAUAAAAUUAAGCAAGAACUAGAUAUUGUUCAGCUAUUACAACUGCAAAUCUCAACUGGACUGCACUGGGAGAGAAUGAACAUUUUCAAAACCGGGAGGUUUUUGUUAUAAUUCAAGUUUUACCACAAACUAAUGGGAUAAAAAGCCUACAAACAAUCUCCUUCAGUCAAACUUCAAUUUAAAUAUGUAGUGUUAAAUGUUCACGAGAAAUACAUUCUUGAAAGAAUUGAUUAAGAAUUGAGAGCA